rnacentral:rRNA from 1 species
CCUACGGGAGGCAGCAGUGGGGAAUAUUGCACAAUGGGGGAAACCCUGAUGCAGCGACGCCGCGUGAGUGAAGAAGUCAUUCGUUAUGUAAAGCUCUAUCAGCAGGGAAGAAAAUGACGGUACCUGAGUAAGAAGCCCCGGCUAACUACGUGCCAGCAGCCGCGGUAAUACGUAGGGGGCAAGCGUUAUCCGGAUUUACUGGGUGUAAAGGGAGCGUAGACGGCAGUGCAAGUCUGGAGGGAAAGGCGGGGGCUCAACCCGCGGACUGCGCUGGAAACUGUACGGCUGGAGUGCGGGAGAGGUAAGUGGAAUUCCUAGUGUAGCGGUGAAAUGCGUAGAUAUUAGGAGGAACACCAGUGGCGAAGGCGGCUUACUGGACUGUAACUGACGUUGAGGCUCGAAAGCGUGGGGAGCAAACAGGAUUAGAUACCCCAGUAGUC